rnacentral:rRNA from 1 species
UACGGAGGGUGCAAGCGUUAUCCGGAUUUAUUGGGUUUAAAGGGUCCGUAGGCGGAUCUGUAAGUCAGUGGUGAAAUCUCACAGCUUAACUGUGAAACUGCCAUUGAUACUGCAGGUCUUGAGUGUUAUUGAAGUAGCUGGAAUAAGUAGUGUAGCGGUGAAAUGCAUAGAUAUUACUUAGAACACCAAUUGCGAAGGCAGGUUACUAAGCGACAACUGACGCUGAUGGACGAAAGCGUGGGGAGCGAACAGG